rnacentral:misc_RNA from 1 species
GAUGAAGAACGUAGUGAAAUGCGAUAAGUAAUGUGAAUUGCAGAAUUCAGUGAAUCAUCGAAUCUUUGAACGCACCUUGCGCCCUUUGGCCAUUCCGAAGGGCAUGCCUGUUUGAGUAUCAUGAACACCUCAACUCUUUAUGGUUUUCCAUGAUGAGCUUGGACUUUGGGGGUUUUGCUGGCCUAUGGUCGGCUCCUCUAAAAUAAAUCAGCUUACCGGUGUUUGGUGGGUAUCAUGGGUGUGAUAACUAUCUACGCUUGUGGUUUUUCCACCAGGUAACCUUCGACAGCGGAGGUUCACUGGAGCUCAUAGAUGUCUCUCCUCAGCGAGGACAGCCCUUUGAAUGUUUGAUCUCAAAUCAGGUAGGACUACCCGCUGAACUUAAGCAUAUCAAUAAGCGGAGGA